rnacentral:rRNA from 1 species
CAAUCUCAGUUCAGACUGCAGGCUGCAACUCGCCUGCACGAAGUCGGAAUUGCUAGUAAUCGUAGGUCAGCAUACUACGGUGAAUACGUUCCCGGGCCUUGUACACACCGCCCGUCAAACCAUGAGAGUUGGCAACACCCGAAGUCGGUAGUCUAACCGCAAGGAGGACGCCGCCGAAGGUGGGGUUGAUGAUUAGGGUUAAGUCGUAACAAGGUACC